AAUUCCAUAGCAUUCAGGCAGGGCAGUUAGAGUGGCGCCAAACAGCAGAGUCAUUGUGUUGUCGAAGGCUUUCGUGGCCGGAAUCACUGGGUUACUGUGUUUUCCGGGCUGCAUGGCCAUGCUCCAGAACCAUUCUCUCCUAACGUUUCGGCCAUAUCUAUGGCAGGCAUCCUCAGAGGUUGUGAGGAAUGUUGAAAACUAGGAUACUCCACCACAGACAUCAAAGAGAUGCAAAGCCAAGAACAACUCACGAGAGCAAAGACAAGAUCCACCCAGAGGAAAAGUGUUCUUACCAUACAUCAAGGGAACCACUGACCGCAUAGGGAAGCUGAUGAAGAAACACAACCUACAAACUAUCUACCGGCCCACUAAGAAAAUCCUAUAAAUGCCACAUUCAGCAAAGGACAAGAGGGAUCCUCUCACCUCUGCAGGAGUUUCAUGCAGCUGUGGACAAGUCUACAUAAGAACCACCAAAUGCAGCAUUGCCCAAACACGAAUCAAGGAACAUGAAAGGCAUUGCAGACUAAUACAACCAGAGAAGUCAACCAUAGCCGAGCACUUGAUACACCAACCUUGACACAGCAUAUUAUUUGAGAACACAGAAAUGCUGAACCGCUCUAACAACCACCAUGUCAGACUACACAGAGAAGCCAUUGAAAUCCACAAGCAUGUGGACAAUUUCAAUAGAAAUUGUCCCUGUGAUCAUUGGAUAUUGAAAACAUUGGCAUGUUAUGCAAACGAGGAUCGGUGAUCAAGCUUCAGUGGAGAUAUAUUUUCCCCAUGAUAACUCUUUCAGGAAUGAAUUUUCAUUUCUAGAGGUAGAUUUCUCUCAUUUCCUUGUCUCACCUCCGUUCUCAACUAGGAGUUGAGUGUAACUCAGGCAUUGCCUGUAAUAGCCAACAGCAACUACUAUUCAAUGGCAUUCCUUCUGGGCUUGGGGAAAGUUCAUCUUUUUGGCCUGACACGCCCUGAAUCCCAAACAGAGCAGCUUUGGAUGUUCUAGGCCCCUUCCAUACAGCUGUAUAAAAUCCACAUUGAGCUGGAUUAUAUAGCAGUGUGGGCUCAGAUAACUCAGUUUAAGGCAGAUAUUGUGGAUUAUCUGCCUUGAUAUUCUGGGUUAUAUGGCUUUGUGGAAGGGCCUCUAGUCUGCAGCAUGCGAAGUAAAGGGACCAAGGCCAUAUUUUCUGCAGGUACGCCUUCAAAUUAUGGCUGCAUGGGAAUUUCAUAGUGUUUUCCUAGGCAGGGAAUACUUGAGGUUGUUUUAUGAUUUGCUUUCUCUGAAAUACAGCCUAUAGCACCUGGUAUUCAUUGGUAGUCUCCUAUCACAGUACCAGUCGAGUAUCUCUUAUUCAAAAUACUGGGAACUAGAAAUGUUCUGGAUUUCAUAUUUUCACCCAGAUUUUGGAAUACCUGUAUUUGCAUAUACAAACGCAAUGUGAUAUUGUGGAGAUGGGACCCAAGUUUAUACACAAUAUUUUGAAUUAGUUACAUGCAGGAAGCCAAGUUUGUGUUUACAGAAGGACUAUUCAGCAGCUAUUCCAACUGUAGUUUGUUUGUUUUUUUGGUUGAAAACCUUAGUUUGUAGAUAUGGUCAAAAAAAAGGAGUGGAGGUGCCAUAAGAAAUCUGUUUCAUGGAAUCUUUCCUGGAAGUAGAGAAGAGAUCCUGCAUGAAGGUGACUUGCUCCUGGAAAUCUGGAGGGGCAACUCCAUUUCUCUUCCCUCUAAAUGCAGAUUUUAAAGUAGUAGAAGUAUUCAUUGACAAAUGUUGGUUUUGUGUGUACUUAAAUGAAACCCUUGUUGUAAUCAUACGCCUUCUAGAAAUAAUUACUGUCCAGAACAUCAAAUGCUUCAUCAAGUAUCGCAUCACAAGAAUCCUAGUGGUUUGGGAAAUAAUUACAUACAUAAAAUAACAAGUAUCUAUAAUUUAUUAUAAUUUGUAAAUGCAUUUUCCUGUUGUCUCAGCCCCGUUUGUAACUAUGAAUUGUUUGUAAGUAGGAUGUAUGUAACUCAGGGACUGCCUGUAAUGGUGAAACAUUAAAUGAUGGACACAUAAACAGAAGAUAA